AUUUUGCGUGAGGGCGAAACUGGAAAUCCUUUUUUGCAAAAAAAGAUUGGAAGUGUAGACCGACUUUUU
rnacentral:misc_RNA from 1 species